GAGCGGCAAAAGCUCAAAUUUGAAAUCUGGCUCUUUCAGAGUCCGAGUUGUAAUUUGAAGAAGGUAUCUUUGGGUCUGGCUCUUGUCUAUGUUUCUUGGAACAGAACGUCACAGAGGGUGAGAAUCCCGUGCGAUGAGAUGAUCCAGGCCUAUGUAAAGUUCCUUCGAAGAGUCGAGUUGUUUGGGAAUGCAGCUCUAAGUGGGUGGUAAAUUCCAUCUAAAGCUAAAUAUUGGCGAGAGACCGAUAGCGAACAAGUACAGUGAUGGAAAGAUGAAAAGAACUUUGAAAAGAGAGUGAAAAAGUACGUGAAAUUGUUGAAAGGGAAGGGCUUGAGAUCAGACUUGGUAUUUUGUAUGUUACUUCUUCGGGGGUGGCCUCUACAGUUUAUCGGGCCAGCAUCAGUUUGGGCGGUAGGAGAAUUGCGUUGGAAUGUGGCACGGCUUCGGUUGUGUGUUAUAGCCUUCGUCGAUACUGCCAGCCUAGACUGAGGACUGCGGUUUAUACCUAGGAUGUUGGCAUAAUGAUCUUAAGUCGCCCGUCUUGA
rnacentral:rRNA from 1 species